UCAAAUUCCUCAAGCUAUAGCUCAAGUCACAACCACUAGUAAAUCGGGUCACUUACUACCUAUAGAUUGCAUGUGUUGACUUCAAAAUCUAAUAACUCCUUCAAUUCAACUUGGAAUCCAACAAGUUGUAUGUAAAAAGUGUAGCUGCAAUAGUCUUCUCUCCAACCGCAGUUGCCGAUCUUCAAAUUGCCUUUUGUACGUGUGCAUUAUGUCAAAAAGAAUGACAGUAGCUCCCAAAUCAACACCUUAACUUUGAGUGCCUAUAUCUCUUUCAUAUAAAUUCCAAAGUAUAUAAGAUUUGUACCAAAAUCAUAGCCAAAAACCUAAACUUCCUGAUCAUAACCUUCAAAGCUCAAAUCGCCUUGAAAAACUAAUCCUAAUCUCUAAUAU
rnacentral:lncRNA from 1 species